GUGCCAGCCGCCGCGGUAAUACGUAGGUGGCAAGCGUUGUCCGGAUUUACUGGGCGUAAAGGGCAAGCAGGCGGACUGUUAAGUAGGAAGUGAAAGGUCGGAGCUCAACUCCAACAUCGCUUCCUAUACUGGCAGUCUUGAGUCUCGGAGAGGAAAGCGGAACGAUACGUGUAGCGGUGAAAUGCGUUGAUAUGUAUCGGAACACCAAUGGCGAAGGCAGCUUUCUGGACGAGAACUGACGCUCAUUUGCGAAAGCCGAGGUAGCGAACAGGAUUAGAUACCCUGGUAGUCUCGGCCCUAAACGAUGAUCACUAGGUGUCAGGGGGUUUCCCUUGGUGCCGCAGCUAACGCAUUAAGUGAUCCGCCUGGGGACUACGGCCGCAAGGUUGAAACUCAAAGGAAUUGGCGGGGGCCCGCACAAGCGGUGGAGCAUAUGGCUUAAUUCGAUGCAACGCGAAGAACCUUACCCAGGCUUGACAUGUAGCUGCAAGCUCCCGAAAAGGAGCCGCUUUCGAAGGUGCUACACAGGUGGUGCAUGGCUGUCGUCAGCUCGUGUUGUGAAAUGUUGGGUUAAGUCCCGCAACGAGCGCAACCCUCAUGUCCUGUUGCCAGCACGUAAUGGUGGGAACUCGGGACAAACUGCCCAUGUAAGUGGGAGGAAGGUGGGGAUGACGUCAAGUCAUCAUGCCCCUUACGCCUGGGGCUGCACAUAUGCUACAAUGGCUGCUACAAACAGUUGCGAUCCCGCGAGGGCUAGCUAAUCUGAAAAAAGCAGUCUCAGUUCGGAUUGGAGUCUGCAACUCGACUCCAUGAAGCCGGAAUCGCUAGUAACCGCAGGUCAGCAUUACUGCGGUGAAUACGUUCCCGGGCCUUGUACACACCGCCCGUCAAUCCC
rnacentral:rRNA from 1 species